rnacentral:rRNA from 1 species
UACGGAGGGUGCAAGCGUUAUCCGGAUUCACUGGGUUUAAAGGGAGCGCAGGCGGAUUGGUAAGUCAGUGGUGAAAGGCUUAAGCUUAACUUGGGAACUGCCAUUGAUACUAUUAGUCUUGAAUGUUGUUGAGGUUUGCGGAAUGGGUCAUGUAGCGGUGAAAUGCAUAGAUAUGACCCGGAACACCUAUUGCGAAGGCAGCAGGCUAAACAAAUAUUGACGCUGAGGCUCGAAAGCGUGGGGAUCAAACAGG